rnacentral:misc_RNA from 1 species
CAGCAACCCCCAGCCUUGGCGGCCUCACUGCGACCUCGCCAGUCGUACCAUCGACACCGAAACCGGCGGGACUUGGAGCCAGAAGCUCCGGAUUUUCGCGAGAAAUCGUGGUGAUGGUGAAAUCGGCGAACGAGUGCUUCAGAGGCUCGUAAGAAUUAUAGAUUCCUGUAGUUGGGAGACGAAGUAGUUUGGUGCUUUUAUGACAUAUACGCAACAAGUCGCGUUCCAAUUGUUUAUUAUUAUACGCAUGAGGCUUGGUUAGAAAGAGGAACUCAACGAAACUGUAAUGUUCGUUGAGUCAUGGGAUUGGGGAAAGGUGCCUACCAAAUAAGAAGAAGACGAUGAGUAGCUUGUAGAGCUUCUGGUCAUUCUUGGUGAGUGUACCAAAGGAAUUUGGUCAACGUCUUCAAAUUUAGUUAAACCGGCAGUCUGUUUUUGACAAUCCGGUAGACAAAGUUAAAUGAAAAAACUAUUGAAAUAAAGAACGUGUUUGUGCGGCGUGUUGUUUUGUGCCAGUGAGGUAUUCGACGGAGAAGAUAAAAUGUGAGGAACGAAAAAUGAGCGUCAAUUCGGAUUCUGCUUUCUUGAUUUCGUUUGUAACGAAAAUGUUGUUUGUUUCUGUCUCAUGUGAACCACGUGAAUAGUCAGUGAUUGUGAAUAAAGAUUGAAGCAGUUGAACGGGGGUGAAUGAAUUGAUUAUUAAUUAACGAUAUUCUAUAAUUGGGAAUAUAAAAAAGCGUGACAAAAAGAAACGAGGACCAUUAAAAACGACGAAAUUAAUUAUCGAUGUAUGUUUUAAAGGAUUCGUAAUGAAAUUAGUGUGUAAAUAAAAUUAAUGAGAAAGACAGGAUUAGGAGGCACGAAAAGUAAUUAGAUUAAAAAUGACAGAGAGAGAGAGAAAGAGAAAAAGAUGACAAUUAAAUGAAGGCAAUAUGUUGAGAUGAACUGUUCAAUGAUGAUUAUUUAUACAGAUAUGAUGUGAAAGGGAAAUAAAAGUAAGCGAGUCUCCGUGCAAAAGAGAGAGAGAGAGAGAGAGAGAGAGAGAGAGAGAGAGAGAGAGAGAGAGAGAGAGAGAGAGAGAGAGAGAGAGAGAGAGAGAGAGAGAGAGAGAGAGAGAGAGAGAGAGAGAGAGAGAGAGAGAGAGAGAGAGAGAGAGAGAGAGAGAGAGAGAGAGAGAGAGAGAGAGAGAGACGGAUAGAAAGAAGGAGACAAACGUAUAAGGGUAAUGAAACGCGAAUAUCUUCAUCCCUUCGACGAGAACGCACCGAGUAUAUAGUGGAUAUAUUGGCGGAUGGAUGGACGGAUGGAUGGAGUGGGAGGGGAGGGCCGCUGGAUCAUGCCACUCGACAAAGCCAAGGGGGACAUUGCGAGAUGCGGGAAGUCGAAGGGUGACGGGAACUUCACCAAACCUCCAGGCAACCGAUCAAACAUGAAGAACGUGCCAAACCAGAGAAAAGAGUCUCGAGUCUUCGUACCUCGACUCACCAGUUCAAAUUUUUAAUCCAGACAGUAUUUUCGCCCGGUUUACUUAAUGCUACAGUUGGAUUGGAGAACGAUAAAGCGACGAUGAAGAGCAAACGGGAAGAAUACAGGUUUUGGGUAUAAUGCAGUACAAAUUGACGAGGAAACGAUGAUACGGCCAAAGCUUGAUCUAGUUAAAACCCACGCGAGAUUCGACGCUCGUCUCGUGGUAAAAUCGAGAAAGAAAAGGACGGUUCGUACCUUGGCUUGUGACUGAUCGCAGUUGGCUAGACCGGUGAGGAAAGAUGGAGUACAACGAAACGCUGGACUUUGAGGAAGAAUUCGAUUCGAUGAACGCUUCGACGGUUGUGACGACAAUCCUGAACGGAGAUUCUGGGCCGUACAAUGACUCGACGGGUGCGGUAAGGGAGAAUGAGGAUAUCGAGCACGUCCUGCUGCAGCUGGUUAAGGCCUCCAUAAUGGGUUUCAUAAUCCUCUGCGCCCUCUUCGGCAACCUGUUGGUCAUAGUGUCGGUGAUGCGGCACCGUAAACUACGCGUGAUAACGAACUACUUCGUGGUGUCGUUGGCGCUUGCCGACAUGCUGGUUGCCAUAUUCGCGAUGACGUUCAACGCGAGCGUCGAGCUUUCCGGGCGAUGGCUCUUCGGGUACUUCAUGUGCGACGUGUGGAACUCGCUCGACGUAUUCUUCAGCACCGUCUCGAUCCUCCACCUCUGCUGCAUCAGCGUAGACCGCUACUACGCCAUCGUUCAGCCCCUCGACUAUCCCCUGAUCAUGACCAACCUCAGACUCGGUACGAUGCUCAGCGUAGUUUGGUGCUCGCCGGCCGUCGUCAGCUUCGUGCCGAUAUUCGCCGGCUGGUACACGACACCCGAACACCUUCAGUACCGCUCCAAUUAUCCGGAUGUUUGCGUAUUUCACGUUAAUCAAUUCUACGCAGUCGUCAGCUCCAGCGUAAGUUUCUGGGUACCCGGCAUUAUCAUGAUCGCAAUGUACUACAAGAUCUAUCAGGAGGCGGAUCGCCAGGAACGAAUGCUUUACAGGAGUAAAGUUGCGGCCGCCCUGCUGAACAAGCACCUUCAAAUAAACGGGAUUUCAGCUGGACUGACCUCCCUGCCAACUGUUGGACAAUCAUCACCCGAACCUGCGCCGGAAGAUCCACCGAUAGCGAGUAGCAGCAAAAUGAAAAGGGAACGAAAGGCUGCGAGGACUCUCGGCAUUAUAAUGUCGGCAUUUUUGGCCUGCUGGCUUCCAUUUUUUCUUUGGUACGUGAUAACGGCCCUCUGCGACACAUGCCAAAGUGGCAAUAUUGUUGUGGCUGCGGUGUUCUGGGUCGGUUACUUCAACAGCGCCCUGAACCCGUUGAUCUACGCGUAUUUCAACCGCGAGUUCAGGGCAGCGUUCAGAAAAACGUUGGAGAGUUGCUGCUCGGCAUUCAGUCCCGUAAAAGAUAUCGGCAAUAGAAAUCGGAAGCAGGAUUUGGUUCACAGCAACGCGUCCUCCGAACUCCAUGUGAACAACCAAUUGAGAACAAGCGAACUCACCAACGUUCACAUUGAGGCUUGCAUAUAAUUAUAUUUACAAUAUAGGUAUGUAAAAAUCGGAAUACGUUAUUCAAUUUUAAUUUUACGAAUCCGUUUUCCUUUGUUCACUGCUCUUAUUCUGCAAUCUAAUCGACUUAUAUCGAUUUAUUUGUUAUAAAUUACACACAGCUAAUUUAACGCAAAAUAAAUUCGCUUGAAUUUAUGCAAUUCAGGGUGCAGUUCAACAGAUCCCGUGCCUGCAUUUCGGCAACUGAGAUUACACAUUACCAAUCGCUAUUUGCCUCGAUUCCGACACGAUUGGCGUACUCCUUACAAAUUUCUUCAAUCGUGGUCCAUGAGACAAAUGCCGAUCGAUGAUAUGUACCCUCAGUUAUCGAAGAGUAGGCGCACAUCACCAAGAUGUACCCUGAAUUACAUAAACGCAGGCGUAUCUGAAUCUGUCCGAGUGAUGACAAAAAAACGAAUACAUAGGUAUAGAAACAAAGGCGGGAGGUGAGAAGUAAAUAGAACCCAAUCAUCGAUAUUAUAAACAUCACUGGACUCUAUACUAAGUGGUGCCGAUUAGAAUCCCAAAAAAUCGACAGUCGCGCUGCAAUACCCAGAGUUAAACUAACGGGUCACGUGGGUGAUACCCUAUCAGAAACAGAUUUAGUCACAUGGUACAGCGUGGGGAAAGUUUAAAUGCAUGCGCCCCGUGAACAAAAUUACGAUGUUGUUCUCUUUUUCAUCAUAUACUUACUUGAAGAAAUGCACUGACGAAUGUAUUUUUUCUAUUUUCUUACAAAACCAACAAAACUCCGUUUCUGCAGGAACGUUUAUAUGCUGUCAGUUCUUGUGAGCCACGUGAUACGUUAGGUCCAUUUAGGCUAUUGAAUCGGUGGUGUCGAUUUCGUCUGCUUCUAAUUGAUUCAGGCGGAGGAGAACGAUAGUCAGCCAUCCAGCAGUGAUAAACAUGCAGAAACGAAUUAAAUAAUCGGAAGCGACAACAGUGAAUGGUUUGAGAUUGGCAGCCUACGUAUCGUCGGGAGGUCUU